GGCCCGCCUGUCUAUCGGUUAGGACACCAGGUUUUCAACCUGGGAAGAGGGGUUCGACCCCUACGGGCUGCCA
rnacentral:tRNA from 1 species